GACGAACGCUGGCGGCGUGCUUAACACAUGCAAGUCGAGCGGAGAAGCGAACGGGAGAGUAACACGUGAGUAACUGCCCCCCUCUAUGGGAUAACAGUUGGAAACGGCUACUAAUACCGGAUAGUGGGGGAUGACUCGCGUCAUCUCCGUUUGUGGGUGGGGGAGGGGCUAACCAAUGCGACGACGGGUAGCCGGCCGGAGAGGGCGACCGGCCACCAUGGGCUGAGAUACGGCCCAAACACCUACGGGAGGCAGGGGUGGGGAAUAUUGCACAAUGGGGGAAACCCUGAUGCAGCGGCGCCGCGUGCGGGAUGACGGCCUUCGGGUUGUAAUCCGCUUUGAGCCAUGACGCGGUAGUGGCAGAAGAAGCACCGGCUAACUACGUGCCAGCAGCCGCGGUAAUAC
rnacentral:rRNA from 1 species